rnacentral:lncRNA from 1 species
AGUGUACUCGAAGAUAUAUACAACUUUGUGGUUGAUAACUUUUUCAUUUAAAAUCAAUGUGAGCCUAAAAAUUUUAUGUUCAAAUUAAUGAUUUUGAAAUUCAUAUUUAAUAUUUUUUUUCAAAUGGUGAAGAAACAACCUAAACUAAACUUUUACUAAUCAAAGAGAUUUGAAACUUUCUGCUUUAGACUUUUUAUUUAAUUUUUUUUAGAUUCUCUAAUAUGCAUUA